GCGGGGGUCAUACAGUGGUAGUAUGGUAGCUUCCCAAGCUACCUGCGCGGGUUCGAUUCCCGUCCCCCGCU
rnacentral:tRNA from 1 species